GUAGUUAUUACAUUACUUUCCGCCAGAGAACUACAAGUGAAAAACUUGAAACUCAAAGGACUUGACGGUGUCCCAUAUCGACCUAGAGGAGCCUGUCCUAUAAUCGAUACCCCCCGUUCCACCCGACCUCAACUAGCAAAAUAUCAGCCUAUAUACCGCCGUCGACAGUCUACCCCAUGAGGGCUCAACAGUAGACACAACAGCCUUAACGCUAAUACGUCAGGUCAAGGUGUAGCAAAUGUUGAGGAAAAGAUUGGCUACAUUUUUUAUGAUAAAAAACACGAAUUGCACUAUGAAACACUGCAUGAAGGUGAAUUUAGUAGUAAAACAGACAAGAGUGUCUGUUU
rnacentral:rRNA from 1 species